rnacentral:lncRNA from 1 species
AUGCAUGCUAACUACUGCACAGAGGGUCUGCUCCUUCCAGCCCAGCGUCCAGCACGUCCACGGCUGCUCCAGGACACAGGCAGAAGAGCGGUGUUGGGCUGGACAGCUCAUGCUGCUGCGCUUGUUUAUGAGCCCGUCUUCUCCAGAGACACGGAGGAGGGGCCAGGUUGCUGUGGGCACCACAGCCCUCUCUGGAUGCAGGGAGGAGCCGGGAGGAGCAGGAGAGGAGCCUGGCCAAACCCGCCUUCGCGACCACAGAGACCCCACCGCCCCACCUGUGCCCAGGCUGAGAGGCCCCGUCCUCAGGGAGGAGAGCUGUGUGCGGCCUCCAGCUCCCAACCAAUGAAGGGCCACAGGGCCGGUGCAGACGCGGGGGCUGGCUGGGACCCAGCCAGGGAUACGGUCAGCAGUGACGCAGGGGCUCUGAAUUGCAGCCCUGCCUGCCCUUGGGAACCCCUACAGCCUGCACAUAUUUGAAGCUAUUCCAGGGCCAUUUAAAAUAAUCCUCUACAUCAGGAAGCACAUUUAACCACCUUUUCCUUCCUUCUGUACUGUAACAGCUGGGUGUCAACCACCUCGACAUGUACACCAGCUGGAUGUGGGCACCUACUUCUCUGCAACUCCCAAUUUAUAGCUAUUUAAACGUGAUUUUUCUGAUAGAUGUAAUAAGACAGUUAUUUAGUUUAUUUAAGCUAUUCAAAUAUUAUCUGAUUAUUUAGAAACAUUUAUAGGGGCUAAUUAUAAGUAACUGUUGAUCAGGAAUGUAGAAGCUAUAAAAUUAAUCCUCAGUAACCACAGCUCUGACAAGUAGCUGCUAUUUAUUUAGCAUACAUUACAAGCCUUUUAAAUUUGUAUUACGAGAGCCCUGAGUUGAGCAAAGUCUCAGGGGACACUGAUUACGAUAAAGCAGCUGUCACCCCUGGCCCUCUGGUGUGGAAUGGGACUGGGUCACCAGAGGCUAAUUCUUAAUGACUGCCGGCUUCUGAAACAAGAGUGGAGCUGCUGACGGGAGCAGGGCCAGGGCUGCACCCCAGGACCAAGACUCCCAGCACCACAGUGCCUGGGCCACAGGGGACCCUGGCCCAACAGGCCUCAUCUGCAGGGCAGGCGUCCAGGCCCCUGGAACCUGGGGGUACCUGCUCAGGGAUCUGUCCAGCAUGGUG